UCGGCUAACUCCGUGCCAGCAGCCGCGGUAAUACGGAGGACACAAGCGUUAUCCGGAUUUAUUGGGUUUAAAGGGUGCGUAGGCGGUUUGUUAAGUCAGUAGUGAAAUCUUACAGCUCAACUGUAAAAUUGCUAUUGAUACUAGCAACCUUGAGUAAGAUUGGAGCAAUUGGAAUGUGUGGUGUAGCGGUGAAAUGCAUAGAUAUCACACAGAACACCGAUCGCGAAGGCAGAUUGCUAAGUCUUUACUGACGCUGAGGCACGAAAGCGUGGGUAGCAAACAGGAUUAGAUACCCUGGUAGUCCACGCUGUAAACGAUGAUCACUAGCUAUUGGAUUGUUUUUUUUAUUCAGUGGCCAAUCGAAAGAGAUAAGUGAUCCACCUGGGGAGUACGAUCGCAAGAUUGAAACUCAAAGGAAUUGACGGGGGCCCGCACAAGCGGUGGAGCACGUGGUUUAAUUCGAUAAUACGCGAGGAACCUUACCAAGGCUUAAAUGUACCACGAAUAGGCUGGAAACAGCUUAGUUUUCGGACGGGGUACAAGGUGCUGCAUGGUUGUCGUCAGCUCGUGCCGUGAGGUGUUGGGUUAAGUCCUGCAACGAGCGCAACCCCUAUUGUUAGUUGCCAACGGAUGAUGCCGGGAACUCUAACAAAACUGCCGAUGCAAAUCGAGAGGAAGGUGGGGAUGACGUCAAAUCAUCAUGGCCCUUACGUCUUGGGCCACACACGUGCUACAAUGGCCGGUACAGAGGGAAGCCACUGGGUGACUAGAAGCGAAUCUCUAAAACCGGUCUCAGUUCGGAUUGGAGUCUGCAACUCGACUCUAUGAAGCUGGAAUCGCUAGUAAUCAGGUAACAGCCAUGACGCGGUGAAUACGUUCCUGGGCCUUGUACACACCGCCCGUCAAGCCAUGGAAGUCGGAGGUAUCUGAAGUCAGUGACCGUUAAAGGAGCUGCCUAGGGUAAAAUC
rnacentral:rRNA from 1 species